rnacentral:rRNA from 1 species
UACGGAGGGGGCUAGCGUUGUUCGGAAUUACUGGGCGUAAAGCGCACGUAGGCGGCUUUGUAAGUUAGAGGUGAAAGCCCGGAGCUCAACUUCGGAAUUGCCUUUAAGACUGCAUCGCUUGAAUCAUGGAGAGGUCAGUGGAAUUCCGAGUGUAGAGGUGAAAUUCGUAGAUAUUCGGAAGAACACCAGUGGCGAAGGCGGCUCACUGGACUGGUAUUGACGCUGAGGUGCGAAAGCGUGGGGAGCAAACAGG